rnacentral:rRNA from 1 species
UACGAAGGGGGCUAGCGUUGCUCGGAAUCACUGGGCGUAAAGCGCACGUAGGCGGCUUUUUAAGUCAGAGGUGAAAUCCUGGAGCUCAAUUCCAGAACUGCCUUUGAUACUGGAGAGCUUGAGUCCGGGAGAGGUGAGUGGAACUGCGAGUGUAGAGGUGAAAUUCGUAGAUAUUCGCAAGAACACCAGUGGCGAAGGCGGCUCACUGGCCCGGAACUGACGCUGAGAUGCGAAAGCGUGGGGAGCAAACAGG